GUCUGAUAAACAGUCACUAAAGGCAACCUUAACUCUGCAAUUUAAACAUUUGAGCAGUGAACCCCGACCACUUCAAUGGGAUGAAAUGAUCUAUGUGCUCAAAGUGGUCAUUAAGGGGAAAAUAAUUGCUAUCUGGUUGACCUGUUGACAUUCAUACAUCUAUUUCAUCUCAUGGAUUAACAUGAUGUCUACACAACCCUUCAAUUGUAUUAUGCAAUAAUUCACAGUUCCAAAUUAUGUAAAACAGACAUUAAUAAGCACGGUGAAUUAGCAUGUCCUUCUAGC